rnacentral:lncRNA from 1 species
CGGCGGCGGCGGCGCUAAGAGAGCUGAGGGAGCAGGCGCCGCCGCGCAGAAGACCCCGGGCUCGCACAGCCUGCUGGGCCGCGGGGAAGCCGCCCGUCCCUCCCUCCGCCCGGUCGCCCAGGUGCAGUGUGACCAGCUGCCUCAAGUUCCUGCUAUCCCAGCUUGGUGAACUCGAAUUUUGAGCCAAAUAAACCCAUCUUCCCCCAAGUUGCUUUUGUUGGGGAAUUUUAUCAAGGAAACAGGAUGCCCCUCCAUUAUGCUUAUCAAGAGGACACAACUUGUCCUACAAGAUUGAAUAACAGCUUUGUCAUCUCUGUUCUGAGGGGCCUCAUCCAAGAUCUCAGAGACCACUGUGCAUGCAAAUCUAUUGUUUCCCAUCUGAACCCCAAACCACCUGUGGCCAGUAUAAAUCCUGGAAUAGAGGAGGCUUAAAAAAAACGAAAAAUUAACCAAGACCCAGUAAGGCUUCUUAUGGAGACUAAUGCAGAGAUUUGUAGUGAUCCCUGAAGUAUCCAACCAUCAAACACCCCCAGCUCUGAGGCUGAGCCUGCCUAUCUUGGGGAAGCCAUCCUGGGAGUAUGGAGAGAGGCCCUAGGCAAGUGUGUGACAACAGUAAUAGAGAGGGUGGUGUAGGGUUAGCAUGGACAAUCCUAGCCACUCCCAUCACUGUGUGAGGGUGUUGUGUGGGGACUCCUCUCAGUGAUAGGGGGUUUAUCCAGCUAGCACAAGGCCAUGAGUUCAGUCCCCAGCAUGGGGGAGGGGUAGAUCAAGAGAGGUCACACUGUGAAGAUGUCUCUGUUUUACCUCACCUACCCAAGGCACCUCUGAUUGGUCUAAUAUAGAGCUGAAUGGCCAGUAGCUAUGCAGGUGGGACUUUGGGAAGACAGAGGAACUUAGGAAAAGAAUCAGAAAGGCAAAGAUGCAACAGCCAGACAGAAGAAAUCCAUUGUAAAGUGCUGAGGGUUGGUACCAAGCCAAGUGGCAGAACAUUGAUUAAUAUAAAGGGAGUAAUUUAGGUUUUAAGAGCUAGUUGAGAACAAUGCUAAGACCAAGCAUUCACACUUAGUAAGAAGUCUCCGUGUCAUUAUUCCGAAGCUAGUAGUCCAAAGAAAGACCUGCUGCAGAGAGAUGAGCCUGCCCCUGCUCUGGGCAGCCCCCAGCCCCUGAGUGCUUGGGCUCACACUUUCCUUGCACAGCCCCUGAGUGCUUGGGCUCACACUUUCCUUGCACAAUCUGCUGCUGCUGUCAGUUUCCAUUAACAGUUGGUGCCUCUCAGGUGAGGGAUCUGUGCUUGGGGCUCACAGUGCUGUUCCUGGAGGGCUCUGGGCUACUCUGCUGUGUCAGGUCCAGACUGUCUUGUCGUCCUCUUUUAAAUUAGCGUCGGUUGGCUCAGUUCACUGCAGGGUCCCCAGAACCCAAGGCAGCAGCAGGCUGUCCUCCAGGAGAUCCAGUGCACUGACAUGGGCGGCCCACCAGAGAGCAGUACACGACCACACGAGCAGCACAGAGCCUGCAAACUCCAAGGAAUGGUCACACGGAGAAGGAGCACACGUGAAGAAGGCAACAUGGGGCUGAGGUAGCCGCAGGCCAGGUGUAUGAAAUAUUUCUGUGCGGUUAAAAUAUACCUGACAAGCGCGACUUUAAGUAUGGAAGGGCUCUUGCCUGGCUCUCGGUUUGAGAGUUCAGUCCCCCGUGGAGGGGGAUGCAUGGCAGCAGGAGAGCGAGGCUGCGGGGGCUUUGCAUCUACAGUCAGGAACCAAAGACAGAGAUGGAUGUAGGUGCUCAGCUCGCCUUCACCUCUGCCCACGGAAUGCUGCCCACAUCCAGACUGUCUCCCACCGCCAUUGAGCCAGUCUAGAGACUCUCUCUCAGAC